GUAGGGAAUAUUGGGCAAUGGAGGCAACUCUGACCCAGCCAUGCCGCGUGCAGGAUGACGGCCCUCUGGGUUGUAAACUGCUUUUAUAUGGGAAGAAAAAAUACUACGUGUAGUAUACUGACGGUACCGUAAGAAUAAGGAUCGGCUAACUCCGUGCCAGCAGCCGCGGUAAUACGGAGGAUCCAAGCGUUGUCCGGAUUUAUUGGGUUUAAAGGGUGCGUAGGCGGAUCUUUAAGUCAGUGGUGAAAGCCUGCAGCUUAACUGUAGAAUUGCCAUUGAAACUGAAGAUCUUGAAUGUGGUUAAAGUAGGCGGAAUGUAUCAUGUAGCGGUGAAAUGCUUAGAUAUGAUACAGAACACCGAUAGCGAAGGCAGCUUGCUGAACCAUUAUUGACGCUGAGGCACGAAAGCGUGGGGAGCGAACAGGAUUAGAAACCCGUGUAGUCC
rnacentral:rRNA from 1 species